GCAGUAGCCGCGGGAAUACGUAGGGUGCAAGCGUUAAUCGGAAUUACUGGGCGUAAAGCGUGCGCAGGCGGUUAUAUAAGACAGAUGUGAAAUCCCCGGGCUCAACCUGGGAACUGCAUUUGUGACUGUAUAGCUAGAGUACGGCAGAGGGGGAUGGAAUUCCGCGUGUAGCAGUGAAAUGCGUAGAUAUGCGGAGGAACACCGAUGGCGAAGGCAAUCCCCUGGGCCUGUACUGACGCUCAUGCACGAAAGCGUGGGGAGCAAACAGGAUUAGAUACCCCAGUAGUCCCUGUCUCUUAUAA
rnacentral:rRNA from 1 species